GGGGGGGGGGGGGGGGGGGCGGGGCGGGGGGGGGUCGGGGGGGGGCGGAGGGGGAGGGUGCUCUGAGGGGGGGCGAGGGGCGGACGGGGGAGGAAGACAUCGGAGUCUACUUUUUCGUGGGGGAUAACGUAGGGAAACUUACGCUAAUACCGCAUACGACCUACGGGUGAAAGCAGGGGAUCUUCGGACCUUGCGCGAUUGAAUGAGCCGAUGUCGGAUUAGCUAGUUGGCGGGGUAAAGGCCCACCAAGGCGACGAUCCGUAGCUGGGCUGAGAGGAUGAUCAGCCACACUGGAACUGAGACACGGUCCAGACUCCUACGGGAGGCAGCAGCGGGGAAUAUUGGACAAUGGGCGCAAGCCUGAUCCAGCCAUACCGCGUGGGUGAAGAAGGCCUUCGGGUUGUAAAGCCCUUUUGUUGGGAAAGAAAAGCAGCAGGUUAAUACCCCGCUGUUCUGACGGUACCCAAAGAAUAAGCACCGGCUAACUUCGUG
rnacentral:rRNA from 1 species